rnacentral:rRNA from 1 species
AGAGCGAACGCUGGCGGCAGGCUUAACACAUGCAAGUCGAGCGGGCGUAGCAAUGCGUCAGCGGCAGACGGGUGAGUAACGCGUGGGAACGUACCUUUGGUUCGGAACAACCCAGGGAAACUUGGGCUAAUACCGGAUAAGCCCUUACGGGGAAAGAUUUAUCGCCGAAAGAUCGGCCCGCGUCUGAUUAGCUAGUUGGUGAGGUAAUGGCUCACCAAGGCGACGAUCAGUAGCUGGUCUGAGAGGAUGAUCAGCCACAUUGGGACUGAGACACGGCCCAAACUCCUACGGGAGGCAGGCAGUGGGGAAUAUUGGACAAUGGGCGCAAGCCUGAUCCAGCCAUGCCGCGUGAGUGAUGAAGGCCCUAGGGUUGUAAAGCUCUUUGUGCGGGAAGAUAAUGACGGUACCGCAAGAAUAAGCCCGGCUAACUUCGUGCCAGCAGCCGC